AGUCCAAGGCGGGAGGGGACCUCCAGACAGCGAGGAGACUUAGACAAAGAGAAGAUCCCCAGAAAGGAGACCCGGGACGGACCUGCUUGGUGUGCUUCAAAUUCAGAUAGCAGCGAAGAAAAGGCUGAUGGGGGUAUCGCAGAAAACGGAGAGCCCUUGGGGCUGUAGCCUAAGCGUCUCCUCUCCCCUCCUCAAGCCGAGGACAAUGUAGGGACUACAAGGGGACGCCGGGACGGACGUGUGGGAAUUCAGCAUUCCUCCUGCCCCCUUCCCCCAGUCUCGCCCACAGCUGCUUGCACUGGGGAAGUCCCCUAGCCUUGAUCGGACCUGUCCUAGAAGCCUCAACUACAGAACCUAGAAAGGUCUGUGCUGCCUGGGGAAAGGACAGCAAGAGCCAGCUGGGCCCCACCACGACCUGACCGGCUCCUCAGCCAAGCUAGAGGCCUGGGCCAGGUGGAGGACAGUGACUGGUAGCCUGUCCCUAGCCUUCAUGGUACACCCAGGCCCAGAGCCUGGGGCACAUAAACUUCCCAGAACACAUGUCAGGUCCCUGGCACAAGGACCCUUUCCUCUUGGCUUAAAACUCUGUUGUCUGCCAUUCAACUACCCCGAGCUCCCAUGACCUCAAAAGUGGGAAAAUUCUACCUGGUGGUGGUGGUGGUGGUGCAUGCCUCUAAUCUCAGCACUCAAGAGGCAGAGGCAGAGGCAGGUGGAUCUCUGAGUUCGAGGCCAGCCUGAUCUGCAGAGUGAGUUCCAGGACUGCCAGGGCUAUACAGAGAAACCCUGUCUCGAAAAACCAAAAAAAAAAAGAAAAGAGAGAAGAGAAAAGAAAAGAAAAGCCAGCAAAAAUAAAAAUGAAAAGGUUCUGUAAACUGUAGGGUGCUGUACCUGCAUGUCACCUCUGGUCUUGAAAUCUGUCCCUAACAAUUGUAGAUUGGAUACACUCAGAAACAUUGACUGUAUAAAUAAAUAAAUAAAUAAAUAAAUAAAUAAGGAAGC
rnacentral:lncRNA from 1 species